CCUACGGGAGGCAGCAGUGAGGAAUAUUGGUCAAUGGGCGGGAGCCUGAACCAGCCAAGUCGCGUGAGGGAAGACGGUCCUAUGGAUUGUAAACCUCUUUAGGCGGGGAGCAAUGCCGGGCACGUGUGCCCGGAGGGAGAGUACCCGCAGAAUAAGCAUCGGCUAACCCCGUGCCAGCAGCCGCGGUAAUACGGAGGAGGCGAGCGUUAUCCGGUUUUAGUGGGUUUAAAGGGUGCGUAGGCGGAUUUUUAAGUCCGCGGUAAAAUGUCCGGGCUCAAGCCGGGCCGGCCGUUGAAACUGGGGAUCUUGAGUGGGCGAGAAGUAUGCGGAAUGUGUGGUGUAGCGGUGAAAUGCAUAGAUAUCACGCAGAACUCCGAUUGCGAAGGCAGCAUACCGGCGCCCGACUGACGCUGGGGCACGAAAGCGUGGGGAUCGAACAGGAUUAGAUACCCGUGUAGUC
rnacentral:rRNA from 1 species